rnacentral:lncRNA from 1 species
GACUCGUCCUGCUUUUAUUCAUUACGUGAUCUUGCGUGGCAGCAGCCCGACGUCAGUGAGGAGCUGGAGGAGGAUGAGGCAGGAGCUGGAGGAGGAGCAGUGGGGGCGACGAAGGCUGACCCAGAGGAGCUCACGUUCCCAGCUGCUGCAGCUCCCUGUUGCCUUCUACUCAGCGCUGCCAGAGCCAGGAGUGCAUCCACAAACAGCUUCCAGGGACAGGAGAGAAAUACGGAGCCUGAGGCUUUCCUGGCUGAGCAUGCAGCAGCCUGUAAAUUACACAGUGCUCAAGUUGGGCAAAGUGCUGCACGCUGUGCGGUUCCCCAAGACUUUAAAAUAUUAAAUGCUAAGUCGCUCGUAUAUCUAUUUAUCCAAAGCAGUGUGAG